AUAAUGUGAUGGUGACAGGCAUUGAGUGAGCUAAAAUGGGUUCUUUGGUGGAGUGAUUUUGGGGCGGAGCUGAACCAAAGAAGAGUUGGGUAAGGCGGAGAUGAAGGAAGAAGACAAAGUUUUUGUUGUUGAGGGGAGGUUAUUUGCUUGAAGGUGGUGAUUGCGCGAGAUUUUAGGCGGAACGACACUAAGAAGGAGCGUUUUAGGCAGAGUGAUUUUUCCUUCCUUUUUUCUAUAAUUACUCUCUAUUUCCCCCUUCAUAGUAAAAUAUGAAGUACUUAUAGGAGAGUUAAACCCUAAAAUAAAGUAUUGUCAUUUAAACAGAGGCAAAGAAGGGUUGAUAUUAAAAUGUACAAUUUUUUUUUUAAUUUAAGGGUCUAAAUUGAAAGGGACUUUUGUUUUAUUUCUUUUUUAUUCAAGG
rnacentral:misc_RNA from 1 species